GCUGGGUGUGGUGGUGGACACCUGUAAUCCCAGCUACACGGGAGGCUGAGGUGGGAGAAUCGCUUGAACCUGGGAGGUGGAGGUUGCAGUGAGCUGAGAUUGUGCCACUGCACUCCAGCCUGGGUGACAAAGUGAGACUCCGUCUCAAAAAAAAAAAAAAAAAGAUGUUCAUUUGUGCUUUAUUAUUUAUAAUAACAAAUAUAAUUUUUUUUUUUUAAGAUGAAGUCUCCCUCUGUCCCCCAGGCUAGAGUGCAGUGGUGCGACGGCAGCUCACUGCAACCUCUGCCUCCCAGGUUCAAGCGAUUCUCCUGCCUCAG
ensembl:misc_RNA Metazoa_SRP Metazoan signal recognition particle RNA